CUGCAAGUGUUAAACAUUUUACUGUAAUAUACAUUGUAUUGCAAAAAGGAAAAAAAAAAGUCUUUGUUUAGAAUGAUUUGUUUUGGUGAAUCCAUCUUGUUUUUCCCCCAUAGUCACUCAGCCAUAGCCAAACUGGUAGAACAACAUUUGAAGAGCUAAUAUAUCCAUUCCUGAUGGGUACACUGGGGGGUGCACCCCGGACCCAGACCUGUGUCUAUCCUAUUUAAUAAAUCGGUUUAGGUUCUCCAUGUGUAUAAUGGACUCUGCUCCAAUCUUAAUACACAAAUCUGUGAAUCGAAGUUUAGCCAAAUACCGCAAACUUUAUUUUUCUAUGUAUUUUUUGUAACACCUGAGUGUUUUUAAAAUAAUAAAGUACGGUGUCAUUUUUAG
rnacentral:lncRNA from 1 species